ACUUGGUGAUGUGGGCAUUUGAGUAAAAAGUCCCUAAAGUGCUCCCAUGUCUCAAAAAAUUGUUCCCCAUCCAAUUGGGAAAAACUAGCGAUUACCUUCCUGAGCU